CAGCGAGUUCGUCUUACGAGCGAGCUUAAGUCGAUAGAUGAAGGCGUAGCGAAAGCGAGUCUGAAUAGGGCGACCAUAGUUCGUAGGAUGAGACCCGAAACCGGGUGAUCUAUCCAUGGGCAGGCUGAAGGUCGGGUAACACCGGCUGGAGGGCCGAACUCGUAUCCGUUGAAAAGGAUUGGGAUGACCUGUGGAUAGGGGUGAAAGGCCAAUCAAACUCGGAAAUAGCUGGUUCUCCGCGAAAUCUAUUUAGGUAGAGCGCCGGAUGUUCACCGUUGGGGGUAGAGCACUGGAUGGGCUAGGGGGGAGCGAUCCUUACCAAACCUAACCAAACUCCGAAUACCAACGGGUUAUAGUCCGGCAGACAGACGGCGGGUGCUAAGGUUCGUCGUCGAGAGGGGAAGAGCCCAGACCACCAGCUAAGGUCCCCAAGUCAUGGCUAAGUGGGAAAGGAUGUGGGAAGGCCAAGACAGCCAGGAGGUUGGCUUAGAAGCAGCCAUCCUUUAAAGAAAGCGUAAUAGCUCACUGGUCUA
rnacentral:ncRNA from 1 species